UGGAUAUAUAUAUAUAUAUAUAUAUAUAUAUAUAUAUAGUGAAGCUGUCCGGUAACCAUAUUGUAGUGUUUCGCUUGGUUACCGAACCCAACCGACCCGACCAAAGACGAACACUGGCGCGGCGCCCCGAACGCAAAGGUGUCAGUGGCGUAUGGCUCGUUGCUUCCGCUCAGCGCCUUCCUUUCCCCUGGUGAAGCAUUUGCCUCGCCCUCCCCUGUCGACGCCUUCCUCCUCGUGCAAUCUAGAGAAUGAGCGCGCAGAUUAGAGCGAUGGGGUCUCCGUGCCCUACGGAGCGAGAUAAUGAUGAUUGCUCUCUAUAUUCGCUGAAGCAGGAAGAUACCAUUUGCUGGUGCUUAUCAACCCCAUCUUGCAGCAGGUUUUGCGAGGGAGAAUUGAUUGCUUGCCAGAUUUUGGUUAGCGUGGAGAGAUUAUGUACACCUUAUAAGGCAGAUUCAAGUUUUGGCAUUCUAAUUUUGCUGAAACUGGACUUGUGGAAACACUAGCAGGCCAUUCUUUUGUCAAUGCCCAUCCGCACAGUAAUCUCUCAAGUAUUUCUGUUCUUCAGAGUGCAGGAGGAUCAUUUGGUUUUGGCAUGGCAGUCUUUUAGUAGGUCCAUUAAGCACAAUAUGUUUCAAUUCUUGAAAGUUCACAUAUCUGUUUUGAUUUAUGCAGCAAUGCUUUGGUUUUUUAUUGUUGGAAUCAAGAACAAGUGUUUAUUUCAUAUGAGAAUACCUUUGGUUGUAGGGAACAAUUGAUGUGACACUCUUUUUCAGAAGUACCAUUAUUACCAGGUCCAUUUGUGUUCA